rnacentral:rRNA from 1 species
GACGAACGCUGGCGGCGUGCUUAACACAUGCAAGUCGAGCGGUAAGGCCCUUUCGGGGUACGACGAGCGGCGAACGGGUAGGAGUAACAACGUGGGUGGACCUCGCCCUCCAGCUCUGGGAGUAAAGACCGUCGGGAAACCGGGGUACCGUAAUAACCGGACGUAUGACUCCAUGACGCAUGUUGUGGGGUGGGAAAGACCUUGUGCGGCGUGAGGAGUGGGCCC